GGAGACAACCGGGAUUGCCUUAGUAACGGCGAGUGAAGCGGCAAAAGCUCAAAUUUGAAAUCUGGUACCUUUGGUGCCCGAGUUGUAAUUUGGAGAGGGCAACUUUGGGACCGUUCCUUGUCUAUGUUCCUUGGAACAGGACGUCAUAGAGGGUGAGAAUCCCGUGUGGCGAGGAGUGCGGUUCUAUGUAAAGUGCCUUCGAAGAGUCGAGUUGUUUGGGAAUGCAGCUCUAAGUGGGUGGUAAAUUCCAUCUAAAGCUAAAUAUUGGCGAGAGACCGAUAGCGAACAAGUACAGUGAUGGAAAGAUGAAAAGAACUUUGAAAAGAGAGUGAAAAAGUACGUGAAAUUGUUGAAAGGGAAGGGCAUUUGAUCAGACAUGGUGUUUUGCGCCCUCUGCUCCUUGUGGGUGGGGGAAUCUCGCAGUUCACUGGGCCAGCAUCAGUUUUGGUGGCAGGAUAAAUCCGUAGGAAUGUAACUUGCUUCGGGAAGUAUUAUAGCCUAUGGGAAUACUGCCAGCUGGGACUGAGGACUGCGACGUAAGUCAAGGAUGCUGCG
rnacentral:rRNA from 1 species